rnacentral:lncRNA from 1 species
UUUCGAGAUAUUCGUGAAUGACGGUUACAGAAAAAGUUAUUUGUAGAAUUUCUUAAAAUUUGGAUAUGUUGUACCACUCCGUCUUGUAUAACAAAAAUACAAAGUUUAAAAAAAUUUCACCGAAGAAAACACGAGAAAAUCAUCGCUAAAUUCGGCGAGGCCAGCAUGAAAAAAAAAUCGACUCGACAUGAGCAUGAUCUGCGCAUGCGUGUAAAUUGUGGCGUGUGAUUUAUAG